rnacentral:misc_RNA from 1 species
ACAAACUUGGUCAUUUAGAGGAAGUAAAAGUCGUAACAAGGUCUCCGUUGGUGAACCAGCGGAGGGAUCAUUACAGAGUUUAUUAAACUCCCAAACCCAUGUGAAUCUUACCUCUCGUUGCCUCGGCGGACGUCGCUUUCCACUGUGCCUAUGCCUAACCGCCCGGGCGCCACGGUUAGCCGCGCCGCCGGCGGCCCACGAAACUCUUGUUUUAUUUUGGAACUCUGAAUCAGUAACUAAAUAAGUUAAAACUUUCAACAACGGAUCUCUUGGUUCUGGCAUCGAUGAAGAACGCAGC